rnacentral:lncRNA from 1 species
GUGAAAUAUUUGAGUAGAUUUCAAGAUUGUUGUAAUGAGACACAUUUUAAAUAUGCUUUGCGAAUAUUGAAAUAUUUGUACCGGACUAGAGAUUUAAGAUUAGAUUAUAAAGGGAAUGAAAAAUGUGAAACGAUAGAUUGUUAUGUGGACGCUGAUUGGGCAGGAGAUCAUUUAGAUAGGAAAUCGACUUCUGGAUAUGUAAUUAGAUUGUAUGGAAAUGUAAUUGGUUGGAAGCCUAAAAAACAAAGGUGUGUGACAAAAGCCUCGACAUAUGCAGAAUAUGUAGCUUUAUCGGAAGCCGUGAGUGAAUUAAUGUCUAUUAGGGAAAUUAUGAAAAUCUUCAAUGUAGAUCUAGACGAUAACCCUGUAAAAAUUUAUGAGGAUAACUCUGGAGUGAUAAGUAUAAGAAAACACGGAAAUUUUACAAAAAAUUCUAAACACAUUGAAGUUCACUGAUACCACUACGUUCACGAGCGCUUAAAGGAGAACAAGAUAAAUAUGUUUAAAGUAAGUACUGACGAAAAUACUGUGGAUAUUUUUACGAAACCACUCUGUAGAGAGAAAUUCGAAAGGUUUAGGUCAUUGAUGAAUGUAAACUAAGAGAAAUGUAAAUAGAGCAAUAAGUGUUAAAGUUUCUGUUACGUAAUUUCUUAAAGCACGUAAAUACGAUUAAGUGUACAGUAUAAAUGUAAGGAGGCGUGUUGGGAACGUGAUACAUUUACACUGUACAUGUGAAUGUAUGUGUAAGCGUCAAAGGGCGUUCAGGCCUUAGUUGGGACAAAAGACAAUAGUCAGUCGUUAGAAAUAUCUGGAAGAAUCGGUUUUCAACAAGCGUGCGUGCGAGUAGGAUUUUGAGGUCUUAAGAGUAUAAGAUGUAUGUAUAACAGUUGUGUGCUAAAUAAAGGCAAUUAUUUGUAUUUCCGAAUCCAUUCUAUACCUUUACACGUUGAUCAACAACAUUCGGUUUCAGCGCAAGACAGUAGUACCAGCAGCAAUUAAGAUGGAACUCCACGGCUUCUGUGAUGCCAGCGAGAAGGCCUACGAAGCCUGCGUCUAUCUCCGAACCAUUAGCUCCGACUGCACCAUUCAAACCCAUUUGCUCACCGCGAAGUCAGAGGUCGCUCCACUCAAAACUCUGACCAUACCACGACUCAAACUGAGCAGAGCACUUCGUCUGGCUUCCUUGAUCUCAGUCCAGAAGGCUUUAACGAUCAAGAUCUCUCGGAUCGUAUUAGGUCGUCCCAUAAGUUUGUGCCGACCUUUGUGUAUACAUUUCAUAUUUUAAAGAAAAAUAAUUAUCCACACGGAAUAAUGAAAAAUGGGAAGAAGUUGUACAACGAGAGCGGGAUUACAUUUUUUAAAUGAAACUGAAAGUGGAUCAAACCAAGACCAUCCUCUCCGACUGGAGUCAUGUGCUCACGGCCGACAACCUAGCAGAUCUAUUCUCCCGAGGUCAGAUGCCCUAGGAAUUCCUGCGCCCGAACAUUUGGAAAAAUGGACCAAGUGGCUUGAGUAGAAAGAAGAAAAUUGGCCGAUUGGAUCUCAACACCGCUGGGCGAAAUCCCGGAACAAGAAAAAGACGAUAGACGAUCUGCCUAGUCACGAACACCGUCGACCAUACUUUAUUAAAAAGAUAUUUGUCCUGAACAAAUCUCGUGUGUCGUCGGGCGGUGUCUUCAAUGGAGAUACAAACAAAUCGAGUUGCAUCUCUUACCGUAAACGAAUUAGCUUCGGUACAUAAAAAGUUGAUACGGAUACUUCAAGAUAUGUAUUUCUCGAAUGAAAUUUUACGCUCCAGAAGGACAGAGUCGAGGACAUCGGAGGGAAACUCCAACCCUUAAAUCCCUUCAUCGACAAGGAGGGGAUACUACGAAUCGAAGGGCGACUCAGUAACUCACCGAUGCCCUUCCAACAAAAACACCCCAUUAUUCUCCCGAAGUCGCUUGUGACGGAAACAGUCAUAGAACAGGAACACCGGAAAAACCAUCAUUCAGAGACACAGGCCACCUUAUACGCGGUCAGACAACGCUACUGGCCUGUCGACGGUCGUAGUCAAGUAUGGCGCACCAUCAAAAGGUGCGUGUGACGGUGUCGAGCCAACCCACCAUCGGUAGAAUACCUGACGGGAGAUCUUCCAGAAGCACGUAUCACCGAGACGCGUCCCUUCACUAACAUCGGGAUCGAUUAUUGCGGCUCGUUCUAUAUCAAGGAAAGGAGGGAUCGCAAUCGACGAAAAGUUGAGGUUUACUUCGCCAUAUUCGUAUAUCUGGUGAUCAAAGCUGUUCACAUUGAAUUGGUGAGUGAUCUCACAACCGACGCAUUCCUUGCCGCCCUCCGCCGAAUCAUAUCUCGGCGAGGAUAUUGAGCGACAAUUCUGUCAGACAACGGUAUCAACUUCGUAGAAGCUAACAGAGGAUUGAAGGAACUCCGGAGCCUCUUGCAGUCCGACGACCAUGAAGAAAGGGUGCAGACCUUUCUAGCUGAUCGGCAAAUACAAUGGCGCUUCAAUCCUCCUUAUUCACCAAACAUUGGCGACUUAUGGAAAGCCGGUGAAAUCAUUUAAACGCCAUCUCACCCGUAUCGUCGGCACGGAGCUCUUAACCUUCGAGCGUCUCAACACCCUUGUGAUUGAGAUAGAAGUGAUCCUCAACUCCCGUCCACUUACUCCGAUAACGUCUGAUUCAAAGGAUCUCCCUGUCCUCACUCCCGGCCACUUCCUAUUCGGCGAUACACUUAUUAAUAUACGCGACCGAGAUUUCAGGGCUACUCCAUCAAGUCAGUUAUCCAGCUGGCAGCGUAUCAACCAACUCAAACAGCACUUCUGGAGCCGUUGGCACCGCGAAUAUCUUACCGAGUUGAUCAGCCGUAAUAAGUGGAACAAGGGCAACUACAAAAUACGCGAAAACAUCUUGCCAUUAUCAGGGAGAACAACGUUCCAUCAAUGCAGUGGACCUUAGGCCUCGUAAUCAAGGUCCACCCCGAGGCCGAUGGAAUAAUACGGACAGUUACCGUACAGACGUCAACGAGCAUGUUGGAUCGCGGCGUCAAACGACUGGUUCCCCUGCCCUGUCAACCAGAUCCAGACCAAGUCGAACAAUCCCGACGAGCGAAUGAAGUGUAGGAGAUAUGCAACUGACCCAUCACACAGAAUUUUGAUCGGUGCCCUCUCAACGGGGGGAGGAUGUUACGUCGCGCAAGACAUCUGCACUCCAUCCCGCGCGGCUUGACAGCCAACGGUCUACGUGCCGUCCUUUGAACCCUCAAUAGGCCCAAGGACCCACCAUAAAUUUGAACUCCUAAAUGUUCGCACAUAUGGUUUAAGUCAAUAUGUUUGCCCUAAAAGACUUUCGAAUCCUAGAAGUGUUUUCGGCUGGUUUUUAGAAAGGUCCUUGGGUUUAUUACGCACUCUUUAGAAUUACGGAGAAAGCGUGUAGUGGCCUCACGCAAAAAGCGGAGAUGUCUAACGGAAAAUCCGGGUUUUCCCUUAAACAAAGAAAUCAACUAGCAACAUUGGUUGGAGGUUCCGACCCCUCUCAUCACUUAUUAAUAUCGACUAAGCAAUGGACAUAGCAGAUCGUUGCCCUCACCUUACUAACGAAAAAUGUGAGCAACGAAUCCGUUUUCUUCACUCAAAAACCACACCUACACCGAGCUUUCCUCCGUAAUUGCAUGAGAGCAAAGCAUCAGUCUACUUCAUACAGUCAAAGUCUAGCCAUUCGGUCAGUCAAAGUCUGGUCUGUUCAGUUACCAUUUCUAUUACAACACGAGGGCCUUUAUCUAGAACUCUCGUUUACGCCCUUUAUAUCAUACGUAACGGUGUAACUCAUUGAUGUAAUAAGUGUUGGAAAUAUACAUUUUUAUAACCCUGUUA